rnacentral:rRNA from 1 species
AUUGAACGCUGGCGGCAGGCCUAACACAUGCAAGUCGAACGGUAACAGAGGGAAGCUUGCUUCCUUGCUGACGAGUGGCGGACGGGUGAGUAAUGUCUGGGGAUCUGCCUGAUGGAGUGGGAUAACCACUGGAAACGGUGGCUAAUACCGCAUAACGUCGCAAGACCAAAGUGGGGGACCUUCGGGCCUCAUGCCACCAUAUGCACCCAGAUGUGAUUAGCCAGUUGGUGAGGUAACGGCUCAGCAAAGCGACGAUCCCUAGCUGGUCUGAGAGGAUGACCAGCCACACUGGAACUGAGACACGGUCAAGGCUCCUACGGGAGGCAGCAGUAGGGAAUAUUGCACAAUGGGCGCAAGCCUGAUGCAGCCAUGCCGCGUGUAUGAAGAAGGCCUUAGGGUUGUAAAGUACUUUCAGCGGGGAGGAAGGGUGUGAGUUUAAUACGCUCAUGCAUUGACGUUACCCGCAGAAGAAGCACCGGCUAACUCCGUGCCAGCAGCCGCCGUAA